rnacentral:lncRNA from 1 species
AGCUUCUAAUCAACAAAAAGGACAAUAAAGUUGUCUUUGCUGAAACUAAAAAUGAUUUCAUAGAUUUCCUAUUCAACCUCCUGACUUUACCCAUCGGCACCAUCAUGAAUUUCCUCCCAAAAGAAAAUUGCCUGGGAAACCUGCAUGGAAGUAUCAACAAACUGGAAGAAGCUUACUUGCUGCCUAACCAAAGCAUGGACUCACCCCUAAAACUGAAUACACCAGUCGAUGCUAUUCUUCCUUUCUUUGAUCUUCCUUUAUCAUGGAGUGAUAGACAUGUGAAAGAUGACUCAGUUACGUACAUGGUGGCUAAUGACUUGUCGGUUACACCCAUGUCCAUGACAUCAACCAUGGCUCUGUUUAAAAAGUACAACGUAAGCGAAGUUGGUGUUCUUGAGGAAAAGGUGGUUGCCAUUGGCCUUGAAGAGGUAAACAAUUCUCUAGCUUAUUGAGCUUUAAUUGAUUUAUUUUCUGCCCUAAUUUCUUGCAGAUUUGGUUGGAGUUAUCCUUUUCCCAAGACACAAUUAAUCAGUAGAUGUUACUUGCAAAUUAUUAAGCCUUGUUUGGUGAUUGAUUUUAAAAAUAGUUUUCUAUAUUAUAGAAUAAACAGAAAAACAUGUUUUCAAUUAAGAAAUAGAAAACAUAAUGUUUUUAAAUAACAUUUUUUAGUUCAUUAUUUUUUUUUUCUGUUUUUUCAGAGUUGCUUUAAAAAAUAAUUUUACAAAUAUAAAAAAAUAAUUAAAAAUAUAGUAUUACAGAUAAAAUUAUUUUUAAAACAUAUUUAAAAACAUGAAAAAAAAUAGAUUAAAGAACAUUUUAGGUUCCCCAACACAUUUUUAUUCUACAAAUUAUCAUAAAAUAGUUUUAAAGAACCGUUCUUAAUAAUUGUUUUCCAUAAAUGUUUUCAAAAAUAGUCUUAAUUUUUGUUUGAAGUUUUGAAAGGUACUUUCUUUUCUAAUGUUGAUUUAAUCAAUCUUUUUGUUCACUUUUCAGGCUUUGCUCUUGUUGCAUUGUGCUUUGCAUUCCAAGGAAGCUCUCACUAAGGUCUUCCUUUAGAUGAUUUAGUUUGUUCUCUUCCCUUACAAUCUAUAAAUUUGGUUGUUUGAGGGCUAAACCAUUGGAGUAUGCAAACUCUCUUUGUUCUUGCAUUUGUAAAAAUCAUAAAGCUCUGGAUCCCUAAAUAAUGUUUAUGCUUAAUUGUCUUUAUAUAAUGUAAUCUCUCUUUGUUCUUAUAAAGAAUCCUUGCAUAGCCCCAAUUUUAUAGAACUAGAAUAAGAAUAAUAAUAAAAGUUAAUGUGUUAUACAAUUUGUCAAAGAUCAUUCCAAAAUAAAGAGAAAAAGGAGGUGAGAUUUGUGUGGUAAGGCAUUCAAAUAAGAAUAAUUUGGGUACAUUACGAGGUUAUUUCAAAUAUAAAAGUAGUAUGACUGUGGUAAUGUUUUUUAAAUGGUUAUCAAAAAAUAGUAUUUGAGAAUAAUUAUAAAAAAGUUACCAAUUAUUUUUAAGAAUAAAAUCAUGUUUGAAAAUCAUCAAAUAUCAAAAACAAUUUUCAUUGCUUGUUUUUUUGUGAAGUUAUUAUGGAAUUAAGUAUAAUAUAAAACCUUGUAAAGAAUUCUUCGAUAAAAAUACUCUAUAAAAAAUUGUUUGAAUCCAUCAAAACCAACAAAUUGGUUCAAUUUUUAAUAAUUGUGAAGUUCAUUUAGGUGUUGAAAUCAUGGAACCUGAUUUAAUUGAUUCAAUGUUCAUUUUUAUAUUUGUUUUUCUUAUUUCCUAAUUGACAAAAACGAAAUCAAAUCGAUGUUCUAAAAUUUGUAUUUUUUGUAUGCGUGUAGACUCUAUUUAAGUAACUCAUUAAUAAUUACACUCCAAUCAAUUUUCAAAUGCAAAAAUCAUAUUCCAAGCAAAAAUUUUAAAUAUAUUUGAGACUUUAUAUCCAAAAGAAUUUUAAAUAACUUUUGCAAAUUAAUUCUACUUAAAAUCGUAUGUUUUUUUUAAGAAAUAUUUUCAAAAAUAAUUUUUAAAUAACUUUUGAAAAUUAAUUCUACUUAAAAUCAUAUCUUUUGUUUAAGAAAUAUUUUUGGAAAUAAUUUUAGAAAAAAUAAUUCUUAAGAUAUUCCUUCAUAACAUUGCUAGUACAAUAAUGACAACAAAAUCAAGUAUAUAUAUAAGUUUGGUUAUGUAAGAUAUUCCUUCGGAACAUUGCUUAUAACAUGGUUAAUAAAGAAUAGGAAAAACAAAAAACAAAAAAACAAAAGGUUUUUGAGGAGAAAUGAAAGAAUUAACCAAAAUUCAAGAAGUGCCACAUUCUUGCUCAUUAUCCAUCCGUUGUUUGUCCUUUUUGCCAUGGCGCUAUGGCUAGUGAGGCAAAUUACAUUUUUUCGGACACUGAAAAAGCCGAGAAAGGUUAUGUGAAAGGGGCAGUGACAGAUAUAGUAAUGGUUGUGAAGCCUCUUUCCACCAUGUCCAUUGUUGAUCUCCUCAACAAGUCCAAUAUAAAUGAAGUGGGAGGUGAACUGGAGGAGAAAGGGUUUGAAUCUAAAGGCAUUUUUUCAGAGAAAUGCAGCUCUUACCACUGCCAUUAUUAGGCCCAUUUACAUCGCUCCACUUCAUGAAUGAAAAAAUUAAUUUUACCGAAAGCUUGGAAGUGAAACAUAUCGUUAAACUAUCAAUUUUCUUGCAUUCGUUGUUUGACUUUCAAAUAUGCAAAUAAGAAAACAAAUAUGUAAAAUUGUGAAUGACAUUUCGUCAAACGAACCUUUAAUAUCAUGUUAAACUAACAAUUUUCUUAAAAGCCUAAAAGUUUAACUUGUAGGAUUUGGGUUCAUAAUGUAUAUCAUGCUUCUUUAACACUUAUUAUAUCACAUUGAAAUCUCUCAAGGAAAUUGAUAAUGUAAGGUUGAUAUUGGCAACUUCAAAGUUACAAUUCCAUCAAUUUAUAUACAAAAUGAUUUACAUAAUAAAGAUACAUGAAAUUUUAACGUGGUUGAACCAGACCUACAUUCAUGAAUAAGAAGAACCAUCUUACCAUACCAUAGAAAAUAUAAUAAAGGAUAUAAAUCAAAUAUAGAAAAAAAAAACAACUAUUAUGUCCUUGCUUUUACUCUACACCUCAAACCAUCCUCAAUAACUUUAUGUCCACUCCUUGUAUCUUCUUAAGUUCAUCAUCAUGUUAUAGCUUUUUUCCUUGAUGACAAAUGAUAUUUAUAUACAUAUUCUUAAUAAUUAACUUUUUUAUUUUAUAAAGAAAACUAAUAUUAAAAUGAUAUGACUAUAGAAAAUAUUUUGUAAAAUAUUCUUUAUACAAAUGCAAGUCUAAAGCUUCUAUUGGACACAAACAAUAACAAUUGAAGUCCUUUUUAUUGAAGUAAGACAAUACCUAAUUUAUAGAUUUCCUCCUCAACCUUUAGGCUUUGCAUGUCAGAAUUGGAACUAUGGUCAAUCUCCUUACAAAGAAGAGCAAGGUAGGUUGCCUCCAUAACUUACAUAAGAGUGUUGAAAAUCUCAAUGAAAGCACCUACCUUAACUAAACUCACUCAUUAAACAAUCAUAUUAAAGUUUUAUUUAGUUUUACGAUAGGGUUUGAAGUUGUUGAAGAAAGCUUGGUCAUGUGAGAUAUUCCUUGAGAACAUUGCUAAGAAAGAAUAGAACCCAAAAACCUUUUAGGAGAAGGGAAAGAAUCAAAAUUCAAAACCAUACUUGCAAAAAGAAAACUAAAACCAUUGAUUGAUGAGAAAGGAAAGAAUCAAAACCACUUUGUCUUUGCUUAUAUAUAUAAUGAAUUUAAAACAAGAAGAGAACCAUAAAUUCCACUUCAAUAUCACUAGUUAUCUAUUUUAAUUUCAUCUUUUGUUUUUUCUCUAUUUUAGUUUUGAAGCUUAAUUCUAGGUACUUAAAAGCUAGCGGGCUACUUUUCUCGAGGAAAUGCCUUCCAUGUCAUGUAAGCUUACCAAACUUAGUUGAAUUAUAUGUUUGUUAAUUUCAUUGUUUUCUUGAUAAAUUAAACCGUUCUGAACCUAAAGGGUUUUCACGGCUUAAAAAUACGUUUAUAUAUAUGAACCGUUUUGGACCUAAAGGGUUCUCACGGCUUAAAUAUAUAUACACACUUUAGGUCUAGAGCAGUUUAAGAAAUUUUUUCUCCUAUUUGAUGUGGGAUAUCAUGAAGGUAUAUAUAUACACACACAUUCCUCUUAACAUUAUAAAUGCAUUUUGAAGCCACAAAAACCUUUUGAGCCCAAAACGAAUAGUAUCUAUAUGGUUGAAAUCAAGUGAUUACAUAACAAAUUCUGGUUAUAGUUCAAAACUAAUUUUGGUUUAAUGGUCCAAUUCAUGCAUGGCAACCAAAGCAACCCCUAAGAUGAACUUGAAGCUUCUAAUCAACAAAAAGGUCGAUAAAGUUGUCUUCGCUGAAGCUGAAAAUGAUUUCAUAGAUUUCCUAUUCAACCUCUUGACUUUGCCCAUUGGCACCAUCGUGAGUUUCCUCCCAAAAGAAAAUAGCCUAAGAGACCUACAUGAGAGUAUCAACAAAUUGGAAGAAGCUUACCUGCUUGACCAGAGCAACGACUCAUUCUUGAAACUGAA